rnacentral:ncRNA from 1 species
UUAAACAAGUUGAGCAGGAAAGUAAGUUACCUGAAGCAUCAAAGAGAGACAACGUUCGGUGUGAGUUGUUAUGUGGAUUGUUUCUGAAAAUGGCCUGUGAUUGGCGUUGGUGAGCAGCAAGUCUGUAAGCUAACGACGGAUUGGUCUACGUUACAAGACACACGAAUCGGCAAAGCAUCAUCUCGCUCACUGCCCGCUCGUUGUUAAGGUCUGGAGUGGCAACGCUCCAGAUGAAGUAGAAUGGUAACACGAAGACUCGUUUCUAUU